AGCCCCGCUGCUUCCCUCGCUUUGUGAGUUCCCUCUUCUCUUCUCCCGGUUUCGAAUUUUGAAUUCCGUCGAAUUUCUCCGAUCCCCCCACACUCCGCCGCGGCUGCGUCCUCAGGCGAUCUCCCGUCUCCCCCGCCCCACCAUGGAUCCGGAGCCGCGGCAGUGGGCGGCGACGUACACCACGCAGCUGAGGCAGAAGCGCAAGGCCUACCACGACGGGGUCCUCCUCCUCCACCCCGACUCCCGCCGCCUCGUCCUCCUCGACGACGCUGGCGUCACCAUCGACGCCAGGUCCCUCCGAGAGGCCGAGUACGUGUCCGAGGGCGCCUCCCUCGAGUUCCCCUGCCACCUCGUCGACGUCGGCGAGGCCCAGCGCGUCCCCACCACCGCCCGCCCCGGAAGGCCCUCCUCCGAGUCCGCCGCUCCCAGGACCGCCUACCGCGGCGGCGCCAGGGCGCGUCACGGCGCGGCCAACACCUGCGCUCCCCGCGCGUUCGUCAAUCCACCCAAGAGAGGAGCCGGCAAGACCGAAGCCGCGGGCUCUGGCUGCGCCAGGUCCGCCGGUUCGACGUUCCAAGAGUGGAGCGCGCUGUACACCACCCAGGUUUCGCAGAAGGCUAAGAAGUAUCACGACGGCUUCGUGAAGCUCGUUCAAUCUGGGUUGUAUUCGAAGCAGAUCGUUUUGCUGGAUGAAGACGGCCAAACACUGGGGACCAGGCACCUCAAGUCAGGGGAGUGUGUGGAAAGCGGGAAGAAAUGCAGUUUUCCUGGCUAUCUGAUUGAGAUCGGCGAGGCCACAAAUCUAAACAAAGGUGGAGAACCUAAAUCUUCAGAAGAACCUAUGGUGCAGACAAGACCAAAGAGAGUGGAGAAUGCGAAUAGCAAAAUGGGAAUUGGUACAACAAGUUCCCUGAAAUUCAUCAGUCCACAGAAGUCCAUUCAAUUUGUAGGUUUUGACGAGAGUAAAUCAGAAGCCACUUCUAGUUCUAACAAGCCAGAGCUUGGAAAGAGUGAAGUUGCAGCUGCUGGCAGCACAGGGAGCCUUAUGGGUUCAGCAGACUCAAGUUCCAAAGAAAUAGAAUGGAGUGUAUUAUACACCGCCCAACUAAAUCAAAAGGCAAAGAAGUUUCAUGAUGGUGUUAUAAGGCUUGUGCAAGCUGGUCCAAAUGCAAAGCAGAUUGUUUUACUGGAUGAAGAAGGUGGAGUGCUUGGCACCAGAUACUUCAAUUCAGGUGAAUCUAUUGAAUGUGGAAAGAGAUGCCAGUUUCCUAAUUAUAUCAUCGAAGUCGCCGAGCUCAGAAAUAAAAUGAAAGAUGUAGAACAUAAACAUGCUACUGGGGAGGCUUCAAGUCACACAGAAAAGAAGGAUGACAAAAGUAAAUCUCCAAAGUUUGUUAGUCCACUUAAAUUCCAUGCAGAUCAUCGGAAGAAUAAAACAAGAAGCACUACUGACUCUAACAAGCCACAGGCCGGAAAAUCAACAUGUAGUAACAUGGGCGAUCCACUUAACUUUCAUGUAUUUACAGAUCUUCAGAGGGGUAAACCAGAUUGCACUGUUGGUUACGGAAGAGCGUACCCAGGAUCAACAUCUAGCGAUGUCGAUAAUCAACAUAAAUUUAAUGAUUUUGCAGAUAACCAGAGGGGUACAUCAGAAUUUUCUACCAGCUAUAGCCGGCUAGAAGUUGAGAAAUCAACAUUUAAUGGCCCGGGAAAAUCAACACUUGGUGGCAUGGAUGAUCCACAUAUAUUUGAUGAUAUCCAGAGGUGUAAAUCAGGAUUUUCUACCAGCUAUAACCGGCCAGAAGUUGACAAAUCAAUUCUUAAUAGAAUGGAUGAUCCACUAAAAUUUUGUGGUCUUCAGGAUGGCAAAUCAGUGUGUCCCACUAGUUUUGUCGGGAGAGAGGUUGGAAAAUCAACAAUUGGCAAUGCUGAUGAUUCUUUGCGGACUGCAUCCCAAAUACUAUCUAUCAUGAAGCCCCCAGCUGGAUUGUCUCACUUUGCUACCCAGCUCCGUACAUCUGUGCAAUCUUGCUUGAAGUUGGAUACUGCACAUGCAAAGAACUCGGUAAUCGCUCAUAAUAGGAAUGGAUUACCAGGGAAUGCUCCAACUUACAAUCAUCAGGCCAUCAUGAAACCACCAGCCUUUGAUGCUUCGGACUUGGAAUUGAUAGAUCUCCCAGAAUCUGAGAUGUGCAAUGCAAACGAGCAGAAACUAGAAUCAUCAGGCAAUCAUAACACUGGAAACUGUAAUCGUACAGCUUCUGCGCCAAUUUUGAAUGUUACUAGCAUCCCAGACUUGCGAGAAGACAAAAGUGGAACUGCAGAUCAGCUCGGUGGGAAUAACACAGCAGAGGACCCCAAAUAUGACAGUGGUGCAUGUAGAGAUUCCACGAUCCAGGAUUUGAUAGAUGACUGCCCUUCCUUUGAUCUUGGCUUCUGAUGGAAGUGGAAGAUGGGAAGAUGUGCGAAGCUUUUGCACGUUCUCUAAAGGGUAAGACCUGCACAUGAAAGGAAGGCUCACAGCCUGUGGCGAGCCAAAGAUUGCUCUGGUGCCGUGCAUGGCUUGGGCGGACUGUGUCACGAAACAAUCAAAUCUCUUGUUUGUUGGCGAGAGAUCGGGCAAAAGCGGCAGUUCUCUCAAGAAAUUAAGCGCGUUGAGCGGGGAGAAGAAUGACCUUACGUGUGGGUGUGGGUUGUCAUGAUUGUACACUGUCAGUUUUACUCUCGUCUUGCGUCCUUCUUUAUAUUAGCGAGUGAUUGCUUUACCUUUUGUUUUAUACUGUAGUAUAUAGCAUGGCGUGAUAUGUUUUGUUUUUCUAUAGCAGCUUACCACAUAUAACAUGGCCUUUUGUUUAUGAUAAAAUCGUAGAGACUAGAACAUGUUUUCUCCAGUGAAAAUCCAUGGAUGUUGUUUAUAGAAUGGAAA